CUUUCACUCUGACCGGGGGCACGGACACCGGCGCUGUGACGCUCCACGGCUGCUGUCUCUGCCGCUAGGGGGAGCGAGCCACUGUGCUUCGGCUCGGAGCGGAGGGUGCGGAGAUCCUCCACCACAGCUGAGCAAGAGCCGGCGGUGGAGUAAAUGAGGCCCAGCUGCGUCUGUGAUGGAAAUCCUCGGAACCCAAGCAGCCACCACGUCUACCUUAUUCACUGCGGUGAUGCCGCCCUUUUCCCAGAUCUCAGCAACGGCUUUCGAUCAUUCUGUCGGCCCAAAGAUGAGCCAAUCCUGGUGAAAGCUGGAACAACGUGUCGCUGUCAGCUCGUUCAUCUCGGUGUCCCCAUGGCUUUGGAUACACACACGAUACUUGUUGCUCCACACAUUCAGUGAUGCUAUCGGCGCCUCUGCCACUUCCUGUACGUCAAGUCCACCCCCUCUAUCAUGAGCAACAGGUUCAGCC